rnacentral:ncRNA from 1 species
CGUACCGACACGGGGUGCUUCGCCGACCGCGGCGAGGCUGAGAUGACACCCGCGAACCUGAUGCAGAUAAUUCUGACGAAGGGAUGUCCGGCGAUGCCGCA